GGAACAUCCAUAUGCUGCGGGUACGGCCCUAAAAAAAAAAAGCCAUUGAACAGGCAAAAGCACUGUGGCCCAGGAAUUCAGAGAGGCUGAGCUCAGGGGACCUGGCUGGCACAGCCCCAUCGCCUCGACACUGAACUCGGAGGAAACCGGCGACAGAGGUCAGAGGGGCGGGCCGAGGAGGACGCAGGAGUGUCUGCCAGAGUCACACCAGCAAGAUGCCACCCCCACCUGGGGCCUCUGCUGGGGAAACAGGAUCUUUCUGCAAGGCCAGGUUUCCAGCAAGUGCAUGCUUAUUGGAGCUGGUGAAAGGAGAGAGCUUUAAGAAAUGGCCUGUCAGCAAUCCUGGGAAAGAAAAAUGGAGCUGAAGGAAUCAGGCUCCCUGACUUCAGACUGUACGACAAAGCUACAGGAAUCAAAAUAGUAUGGUA